rnacentral:lncRNA from 1 species
UGACAGAGUGAGACUCUGCCUCAACAACAACAAUAAAAAACUUUGCAGUCCCCAAAAAAACCAUGAAGCCCUGAGAGUAAUGAAAAGCUUCCUGACAUUGAGGUCACUGUGGAAGAACCACCUAAGCUAAAGAUUCUUUUGAGAACAAGGGCUAGCCUGUGGUUUCAUGGCCUUUCUUCCAUUUGGGGUUCUUGCCAAGUGGAAUUUAAAUGACCUCUUAUCAAGAUGGAUAAACCCAAGUUUCCCAGUGCUGGAAUACAGAAAAUGGAUGGACAAGAUGUCUUUUUGUCACUUCCAGCUGGAUCUACCAUGAAAGACGUCAGAGUCCAGGAAGAGAGACUGACUGGGCAACAUGUUAUUCAGAAUUAGAGAAGAUGAUGUGGUGAUGGAAGAAGAGGUCAGAGAGGGAGAUUUGAAGAUGUUGCAGUUCUGGCCUUCAAGAUGGAGUCAGGGGCUAUCUUCAAGAGAGAAGAUCUUGAUCUGUGGCCCAGGCUGCAGUACAGU